GGAUUAUAGGCAUGCAUUACCAUGUCUGGCUGUGACAAGUUAUAUCUUUCUUUAAGAUUUAAUGACUUCUCAUUAAAGCUGUGUAAGACGUUAGAUGAACCUAACUGAAAUUUUCAAAUAUAUUAAUUAAAAAGAAAUUUGUUGCUUACCUGCUGUGUACUUGAGGGGUGAGAAUGGACAGAAAGUCUAAAAAUUGUGAUGGUGUCCUUUAGAAGCUUACAAUUUUAUCAAGGAAAGAGAAAAGUAAUAAAAGUAUGAUUGAGGUAGAGAUGAAUUGCUAAGGAAGAUUAGAAAAUAAAAAGAUAAAAAAUAUCACUUUGAAAGGGAAGAACAUAAUAGGCAUCAUGGAAGAGGCCACAAAGGCUGGACAUCAAACAAGAUUUUAGCAGGUCAAGAAGGUCAAACAAUAUCCUAGGUGAAGAAACCAAAACCAGAAAUUUUUAAAAUGAUUGGUGGAGUGUCAGUUUGUGAUGGAGUACAUACCAGUACCUAGCAUUCCUUAGCAUAGAAAAAAUCAUGAAACUUACAAAAGAGCUGGUUUAAAAUAUGUAUAGAGAUUAGAUAAUAGAAGUAAGAACCCAUAGAUAUAAACAGGUGAUUGGAGGGGCAGGUGAAAAGAACUCUAAUUACUUAAAAUCAUCUCUGUGCAAGUAAUAAUAUGAAAAUGUCUAUACAGCAUUUAUGAUGUACCAGGCAAGGUUGUAAAUGUUUGAAAUACAUUAUCUCUUAAUCCACACAAGUGUCUUAUGAGGUAGGUACUAUUAAUAACACUAUUUAACAGAUGAAGAAAGAGAAAUAAUUAACUUGUACCUAAGAUCACCUGGCUGGUAAUUUGUGAAACUGGACAAAUCCAAGUAGUUGUUUCCAUAGUCUGUUUUUAAGCUGCUGACGACUUCUCACAGGCUUUUUGGUUGAAAUUGGUCAUUUUGAAGUUGGGACACAUAAUCGACUACUAAAUUAUAUAAGUUCCUUCUGUUUUAUUCUCUGAGGUUACUGUCUUUAGAAGAAACACAAAUCUGACCACAACAGAUGUUCAUUGAAUACCUGCUGUGUACCAGGAAUUGUUCC
rnacentral:lncRNA from 1 species